rnacentral:rRNA from 1 species
UAUCUCUGUAGAGUCUGCAUAUCAAUAAGCGGAGGAAAAGAAACUAACAAGGAUUCCCUUAGUAACGGCGAGUGAAGCGGGAAGAGCUCAAAUUUGAAAUCUUCAAGGUUUUACCUUGACGAAUUGUAGUUUAAAGAAGUGUUUUCUGCUGAAGUUUUGGUAAAAGUUCUUUGGAAUAGGACAUCAUAGAGGGUGAGAAUCCCGUAUUUGACCAUUAUUUUCAGCUUUGUGAUACACUUUCAAAGAGUCGGAUUGUUUGGGAAUGCAGUCCAAAAUGGUGGUAAAUUUCAUCUAAAGCUAAAUAUUGGCGAGAGACCGAUAGCGAACAAGUACCGUGAGGGAAAGAUGAAAAGAACUUUGAAAAGAGAGUUAAACAGUACGUGAAAUUGUCAAAAGGGAAGCGUUUGACACCAGUGUUGUUUUCUCGAAAAUCAAUUAAAAAUGGCUCAAUUUUGUAUUGUUGAGACCUUAAAAGCUCACUGUACAUUUUUCGUGUCUUUUUUAAUGCACUUUUCGUUUAACAAGUCAACAUCAGUUUCUUUUGUUGUAAAAGGGUCAUUGGAAGGUGGCUUUCUUUUCGGAGAAAGUGUUUAUAGCCUUUGGCCUCUGCAAUCGGAGAGACUGAGGUCUGCAGCGUAGACUCUUCGGGGUUAGAUACAUUUGUGCUAAGUUAUAGCUUUUUAUAGACAACUUGUUGACUAUAAUUAGUCUUGUAGCUUACUCGCUUAUGCUAUUUUACCUACGCUUAGGAUGUUGAUGUGAUACUGCGAGCA